UACGUAGGGUGCGAGCGUUAAUCGGAAUUACUGGGCGUAAAGCGUGCGCAGGCGGUUUUGUAAGCCAGAUGUGAAAUCCCCGGGCUUAACCUGGGAAUGGCAUUUGGGACUGCAAGGCUGGAGUGCGGCAGAGGAGACUGGAAUUCCUGGUGUAGCAGUGAAAUGCGUAGAUAUCGAGAGGAACACCAGUGGCGAAGGCGAGUCCCUGGACAACACCUGACACUGAGGCACGAAAGCUAGGGGAGCAAACAGG
rnacentral:rRNA from 1 species